rnacentral:lncRNA from 1 species
GCAGCCUAUGUCUGAAAACAGCCAGAUAGUAAAAUACAUUAGGCUUUCAGGUGAGACAACCACUCAACUCUGCCUUUGUAGCAGAAAGCAUCUCUCCACAAGACAAAUGAAUGGGCAUGGCCAUGUUCCAAUAAUAUUUCUGGACCCAAAAACUAGCUCUUUUAAAAAAUUUUUAUUUUAUUAAAAAAAUUUUUUUAGGACCACACCCAAGGAAUUGGGGUCAAAUCCAAGCCAGCAGCUGCAGCUCCAAUUCGACCCCUACCCCAAGAACUUCCAUAUGCCACAGGUGGGGGCCUAGAAAGCAAAAAAUAAAUAAAUAAGAAAGACACUAAAAUUCCCUUAUCAUCCUAUUCUAUUCCCCUCUACUUCCCUCCCAGGGACAUCACAGCUGUGAGAUAUAGAUCCCUCUGGGCCUUUUGCAUUUAAAAAAUUUUGCCUUCAUAUUAUGUAUUCAUAGAGAAUGUUCAGCAUUGGUGUGUGUGUGUGUGUGUGUGUGUGUGUGUUAAGUGACAAUGUACUGUCCCCAUCUUGCUGGGCUAGCUUUUCCACCCCCACGAUGUGUUUUAAAGACAGAGUCACGUGUGUGCAUGUAAAUCCGCCUCAUUUCUCUACUGCUGCGCUGUUCCCUGCGGGGAUAAGCUGUGUUUUGCCUCUCUAUCCCUUCCUCGCUGGAUGGUGGAUAGUCAAGCUCUUUCCACCUUGGCGGGGNNNNNNNNNNNNNNNNNNNNNNNNNNNNGGGGGGGGGGGUCUUUCCCCCCCAAGGCUCUAGUGAGAGGCAAGGCAGGGUUCUCUCUCCUGGGGUUCCAGCUGGAGCAGCUGUUGUUCCCCCAAAAAGGAGGAGGAGGGCUACAGGGGAGCGUGGCCCCAAGUUGGGGCAGAUGGCAGAGGCGGCUCAACAGGUCCCUUCUUGGGCCUGGGGGCCUCAUUUCUGCACCUCAGCCCAGGCAGCAGCCUGAGGGACUACAUUAACCACAGAUCUGGGACCCAGAGCUCAGCCCAUCAGAGGUGUGAAAGCCACACAAUUAGCCCCUUGGCACUGUGAAGGCUGUUGCCACGGUAAUGCCUUCUUGGUCCCCUGUGCAGCUGUGCAGACAGAUGAAGACAUCAGCCUCCUGCAUGCAGAGAGGCCUGCACUGUGGCCCGAGAGGGUCUACCCUUGGUGGAGGCUAGACCUUCUUAGCCUCCUGAGGCGCUUCGAGGCCUGGACACACCUGGACACCUGGGUGCUGCCUCCAGGAAUGAUCUUCUGUGCGUCAUCUGCCAGGCUAGACCCUCCUGGCUGCUCCUGUGGGCCCCGCCCCCAAUCAGUGGGAGGCUCCUGGGAGUCAUGCCUGGGAAGGGGGGGUCCCAGCAGUGGAACCACAUGGAAUUCCAGCCUGUUCACCCAUCAGCCAACAUUUGCCAGGGACUUCUGUGUGCCAGGCUGGGAAUUCCGCAGAGGCUUCAGCACAGUUUCUGCCCUCGGGGGUGCUCAUGGUCUGGUGGGAGACACAGACAAGUGAAUCAUCAGUCUUUACAAGUGAUUUAUUUUUUUGAACAGGUGGUGCAGGCCUGUGGUUAAAAACUGCAAACUGCGUGGGAGUUCCCACUGUGGCUCAGUGGGAUCGGCGAUGUUUGGAAGUGCUGGGAUGCAGGUUCAAUUUCCUGGUUAGGAGGUUAAGGAUCUGGCAUAGCCACAGCUGCAGCUUAGGUCACAACUGCAGCUCGGAUCUGAUCCCUGGCCUGGGCACUCCAUAUGCUGCGGGGCAGCCAAAAAAUAAAGAACCCCCACCCACACCCCCGCAAGCUGCACAGAAGCCUCUGUGCAAAUCUCCCUCUCGUCCCUGCCUCCGGAUCUCCUGCCCCUCCCUGGAGGCAGCCACCCUGUCAGCCCCACCCAGUGCUCCUGAGAUGGCCUGUGCAUUCAAAAGCAGUGCUCCUCAAGCAACAAAGCCAGCCAGCCAGAACCCAGUCCAUACUCUGCCCCACCGGCAGCUGCGGCCUCUGUCUGCAUUUUUCACUGACCAGCAUUUCUGGGAGAUAAUUACAUAUCAGUAUGGACAGAUCCACCCAAUGCUUUUCAACAAGAACAAACCCAUAAUAAUAGCGAGAACUUAUACUUACUCUGUGCCGGCUGCUCCUCUAGGCACUUUAUUUGUAUUAACUGAUUGACUCCCCUUAACAGCUUGGAGAUGGACGCUCUGCUGAUCUCAUUCCGAGGGCAGGAGGCCAGGGAUGACCAUUGGGUGACGUGGCCUGAAUGCCUCUCCUGACCCUCCUGCUGGACACAGAGGCCAUUUCCAGGCAGUGAGCACCAUGCUACUUCUAUCUUUGGGCACUUGUAUCUCAGUGGACGAGUGCUGGGAAAUGAAUGGCUGGGUUGAAGGGCAGGUACAUUUUGAAUUUACAAAGCUAUUGUCAAAUUACCCUCUGAAGAGGUCACCCUCAGUUACAGAAGGCUACACCUGCACCUCCCGCUCCGGCAGCCAGAGCCAGCACUGCCUUUAUCCAUCUUUUCUCUCUUUGCCAAUGGGAUAGAAGAAAACCAUCUCUCCUUGUGGUUUUCCUUGGAGUUGUCUUAUCAGAGAGGUUGAGUGUCUUUUCAUACAGAUCAGGUCAAUCUGGUAAAAUCAGAAUUACUCUACAGAGCGAGGUCUGAAGGGGCUGAAAGGCAAGAGGCUGCAGUGGGUACUCUAGGAGGGUUGCAAGUGAUGACAGCCGAGCUGGCCCUUGGGGUGUGGGGUAGACAUGUUAGGGAACCACUCACCGAAACUACCCAGCUUUGCCAAGCACGGCAAUAGCCCUUGCAUGAGCUGUCUCAAAGUAGGAGGCCCUGAUGAGGAAUACGGUGCUGCCCUAAAGACUCACUGGAGGAUUUAGGGGGGGCCAACAGGAGGGAGGAGAUGACCAACCUCCCAGGGUCCUUGGCGCUGGGGUCCAUCUUGGCUGGGAGGUGCUUGUGUCACCAAGAAGGACCCUGAGACAGACCAGGCACAGGCCAAGCAAGACGGUUGGCCAGAGACAACCUGGAAACUAACCCCAUUCCUUAAAUGCUGAGACUGUGGGCCCCGUGGCAGAGCAGUUCUCCUGGGUUCUCUUAUCCUGCUGCUCUCUGGGCGGGGGGUUCCUUCCCCAUAAAGUGUCUUGCUUUGUCAACAUGUGUGUCUCAUUGGACAAUUCAUUUCCUAGUGUUAGGCAAGAACUCAUUCUCAGGCCCUGGAAGGGGUCCCUCUUCCUGCAACCGAAGGGCAUUCUUGGCAGAGCAGAGGGUCCGAGCAAAGGCUCAGAGGGGUGGGAGGCAGGGGGGCACCUGGACUGGUCAAGCCUGAGGACGCCCCCCUUCUCAUCAGUGUCACUUCUGCUCCCCAAGUAUCAAAUCCUCAUCCAGGCUGUUUCCUCUGCUCCCACGUGCAGUUUGAGCUAAACCUUGGUUCCUGGGGUCACUGCCCCUGAGGGAGCAUCUUCUUGGGUCUCUAGAGGGGACCUGCCCCCCAAGCCUUUCGUGGGUGGCCUCCAUCACCCCUCCCUGCCCGUGUGUCUCCCCUGCCCCUCCCUCCCACCCAUCCCCGCCACCAGUGGGGGGAGUGUACAUCCUCAUUAGCACGGUUCAGUGGCCAGUGUGGUAAUUGAUCUCCCUCCGGCCCAGUGUGGACAGCGCCUAAUGGGGAUGAAUGGAGCGGGAGGUGCCGCUGAGGGACAAUCACCGGAGGCCCGCACAGAACGGAAAGGAAGGCAAGAGAUGGAGCUACACUGAGCAGGCCUCCCAGUCAGCUGGGGAGUUUGCGGCUGCCUUAGCCCCCCACCCCAGGCUGCUACCCGACCCCCGACCUGGCCCUGGGGCAGAACAAGCACACAAGGUGGGAAGAGGGGGCUCUGGAAUUGAGCUAUCCAUUGGGGUUGAGGCAGGAACCCAUCUCAGAGGGGGGGAUUAGGAGCUCUUGGAUGGCAUCCUAGGAAGGCUAUGGGUGUUGGAGCCCAAGGUAAGGAGGGCAGUGCCCCAAGUAGUCAUGGGCGGAGGAGGGGCCAAGACAUUCCAAAGCCAGAUUGGCCAGCCAUGGAUUUUAUCAUAUAGUCAAUCAACAAAUGCAUUGGGUAGCUGCAAGGUGACCCAAAGAGUCAAGAUCUUUGUUAUGGUCAGGGGAUGGAUAGUAACUAGGAAAAUACUUUGGAUGAUAAUAAAUGCUCAGAAGAAAAUAAACAGGGUUAUAUGCUAGGAAUGCCUGAAUAGAUAUAGAAUUCCCAGGCUAGGGGUCAACAGGAGCUGCAGCUGCUGCCCUACGCCACAGCCACAGCAAUGCCAGAUCCAAGCUGCCUCUGCCACCUACACCACAGCUCAUGGCAAUGCUGGAUCCUUAAGCACUGUGUGGGGCCAGGGUUCAAAACGUUGUCCUUAUGGACACUAGUCAGGUUCAUUACCGCUGCGCCACAACAGGAACCCCUGGAGUGUUACUUUAGGAAGAGCCCUGGGGAGACAAUACGUGAGCUGAAACGUAAAAGGUGACAAGGAACAGCACUCACUCCUGGCUAAUCCACUAGGAAUAUUCUGGUGUUUUUCAUGGGGUUCUAGAAUACUGAGUUUAAUCCCCACGUCCCAUUCAUCUCCUUCCAGGUUCAGGUCUUGAUCUACUUACAUGUCUAGGAAACGUAGCUCUGACUCAAAGCAAAUUGGGUGUUGGGUACCUCUGCCUGGUCCCCGUCUUUCCCUCCUCUUCUAGAAAUAGCAUCCGCGUUCCCUCUUGGGGAGAAAUCUCCCCUACCCUUGGUCCAUGUUCUUCAAGGGGCGAGGGAACAGGACCCAGGAUUGACCAGUCAGCAUGUUCCAUUCCCUUGGCCAUGGCGGGGGGGUUGGGGGGGCAAAGGACACCUGCUCCUGAGUGUUUGCAAAUAUAGAGACACUCCCUCUUCUUGAUGUUCUGGGGCCGCUGGUGACCACCUUCCUGCUCGUGGUCCUGGAGCAGGGCUGACACAGAGAAAUCAGGAGACAGGAGAGGGUGACCAAUCUUGGCUUGGUGACCAUACUUGAACCCUAGGUCUAAUGGCAGAGCCUCCCUGCUCUUUCCAAUGACAUGGGCAGAUGCAGCCUCCUUUUAUUUUUAUUUUAAGUCUAAGAUGGUUUGAGCUGGGCUUCUGUUAUCUGCAACCAAAAGAGUUCUGAUUGACACAGUGGGAAUGAGAAUGUCUGGGUGGGAGAAGCGGAAGGUCUGGGUCAUACAUGCUGUCUCAGCGGCCAGGGGCAGGGGGCUGGUACACACAGCUUCCCAGUGGAGCUCAAAUCAGCACUCCCUGACUCUUCCUUUAUUCUGUGCUGACCCUUCCAGGGGGGCUGGUCCCAAGAUCCCAAGAGGAAUGGAAGAAAGAUCAGAUAUCUUUUUUUGUAGGUCUUUUUUUGAAACUCAAGUUCAUUGAGUAUAAUUUACAAAUCAAAAAAAUGCAUCCGGAGUUCCCGUCGUGGCGCAGUGGUUAACGAAUCCGACUAGGAACCAUGAGGUUGCGGGUUCGGUCCCUGCCCUUGCUCAGUGGGUUAACGAUCCGGCGUUGCUGUGAGCUGUGGUGUAGGUUGCCGACGCGGCUCGGAUCCUGCAUUGCUGUGCCUCUGGCGUAGGCCGGUGGCUACAGCUCUGAUUCAACCCCUGGCCUGGGAACCUCCAUAUGCCGCGGGAGCGGCCCAAGAAAUAGCAACAACAACAACAACAACAACAAAAGACAAAAAGAGACAAAAAAAAAAAAAAAA